UAAUGCAUGUUGUCGGUGCAUGGAGUUCCAUAAUAAUAUUGUAUGGUUACAGUAAGGAGGGUACUUGGACACUGUGGACGCGUGUGCCAAGGCACCUAAGUGAAAGCAACACCUAAUUACUCUACCAAUGGCGAGUGUCGUGACACGUUAUCACCAGCUACUCACAUACAUACUUGGAUCAAGUACUUAUGUUGUACUACCUACUGGAAUAUGUAGUACAAGUGAACGACUAGUGAAGAAGUGCUGUGCAUGGACCAUUCAGCAAAGAUCCAACGAGCUCAUUGUACAGUGAGAUUGAUGAUGCUGAGCAACCGUCACACAUUGGGUUGAUGAUCUGACAGAUGUUUAACAUGGGCUUCUGAGUGCAUGAGUGCAAGAGAAAAAGAAAAUUUAGGGGUCAAAGGUCGCGUCCUGGGCUGAAUUCCAGAAGCGACUAAUGCGGUAAUUAAAGCUCGUUUAAACGGUGAACUUUUCCUUUUAUAUCAAUAAUAAUCGUGCAAUAAUAAUCGUCGUGCAAGAGUCCACGAAGUGACUUGAACAUUGGGGCAAAGGUGCUCUCAAUGCAGUGGUAUUUCUUUGGAAAGAAACUCAGUCUACGUGUUGUCUGCUUGUCUGCACUUGUCCGUGUUGUCUUGCUCACCAGCUUGGUUUUCGAUUGAUUCGACUUAGCAACAACAUCACACUCGAUAUACACGCACUACCGGUAUCAAGAUGAUGCUAGGUUGUCACACAACAUGCGCUUGUAUGACGCAUCAAUAGACAAGUUAUGCACUUUAUAUACCAUAAUACCGCUAUAAUACCGCUAUAAAUAUUAUUAUAACUGCAUCAUGCAAACCUCAACUAUUUCUUGAGCUGUUUUAUACGCUCCCCAAACACUGGCAAUAAUUACGUCUUUCAGCAAUCUGCCAAAUGCAGCUUCACAAAAAGCACACUUGAAUUAUCCUGAUCCUAGGCCUGCUGUAUCAUAAAUAGUAAAUGGUGCCUGAAGUAAGCUUACCUUUAAAGUAUUAUUAUUUUGUUGUUGCGGAUCUCUCGUUGUUCUCGGUCCUUGUUAAACACUCUUGCCAUCAUGGUUUUUGUGUGUACUUGUUACUACAGAAUCCUGGCGGAGUAUGAGUUGUAAUUGAGGAUGCAUGGUUUUAUUUUGAGAGCACCAAAGCUAUAGCUGUACAUCUAACACACUUUUCAAAGUGUCUGCGCAGUUUAACUCACAAUACAACACGCAUGGCGGCUUCAAACAGUACUUGAAAAACAAGUCGUAUGUGAAGGAACUACUGUGAUUGAGAAGAGUGCUGAUGGUUUGGUGUGAAUGGCCAAGAUCCAUCUGUAACAAAUCUGUGCUUAAUUCUGACUACUCCUAUCAUGUAAAAAUCUCAAUGAUGUGCCUGGCACCACUACUUUUCAGUUGGGUUUUGGGUAGUCGAAGAAAGCGUUUACUUUAGGCUUUGUGGUGUGAUGCUAAGUGGAUUGUAUUUUCGACAAAGCCCAACUGUUCCUGCAAAGAAGGUGAUGUGUGCAGCCACAGCAAUUGCUAAAUCAUCUGCAGGUGCCAAAUUCGAGGAGCUGUUUAACAAGAGGAUGUGUUAAGUGAGAAUAUGCACAGCAAUAAUUAUUAUUAUCUAUUAUAGUAGUACAAUUACAGUGUUAUUACACUGAGUGGAGUACAACUGAUUCACAGUCGAUUCAUUUGAUCGCAAUGUAGCUUUCCUCGAGGCACCGGUUGAUUCAAUUAUUGCAUCAUGGAUGGAGUAGUAAAUAAAUUUCAAAGAAGCUGGCCAACAAGUGGUGGUCAUUCUAGACCUUCAAUUAUUGCUGAAUCUGCAAAUUAAUUAUAAGACCCGCCCACACCUUCGCCAUGAUUUCUGCCCACGCAUCAACAUACCACUCCCUACGCAGUACUACUCCCUACCCAGAAGUAUCUUGACACCAUAUACACAAUAAUUUUUUUUUUAUUUUUUUUUUUUUUUUUUUUAUAUUAUUAUUUUGAGUAACUAUAUAAGUGUUCUCAAUAUUCUCACAGAUCAGUUGUCUGUGAGGCACACGCCAUUUCCCCCAGGAAAUGUUUUCUUCACCUACACACAGGUUUACGACUUAAAUGGUGGCUCAUGAUGAUGUCCACUGCUGUAUACCAGCUUACCGCUCAGCGCUCACUUUUCUUUCAGCAGUACUGUACAACUACGCUUGUACAGUAUAGUGUUCUUGUAUAGUUAUACCAAGAACACAGCAAGGCUGGAACAUCUCCCAUCCAUGAAAAAUGUUUGAUCGUGUCCCUGGGACAUUUCUGUUAUUUCUCCAUAAUGAGCAUAGCCAUUAGAAUAAUUAUGUGGGUGGGUGUGCGCACGCGUGUGACACUCAUUAGAGUAAUAAUGUGGGUGGGUGUACGCACGCCGUUAUCUGGUGUGGCGUGUGUGACGCCGUGUGUUGUAUGUGUGUUGUAUGUGUGUGGGGCCGGGGUGUGCACGCCGCGCGUGUGUGUGUGCGGGGUGUGUGCACGUGUGUGUGUGUUGUGUGUGUGUAUGUGUGGCGUGAACACCGUGUUUGUGUUUGUGU